rnacentral:rRNA from 1 species
UUUCUGUUUAAAUGCCAAGGCUCAACCUUGGAAGUGACGGAAAACUGGCAGACUCGAGAACGAGAGAGGUCACUGGAAUUCCUUGUGUAGGAGUGAAAUCCGUAGAUAUAAGGAGGAACACCAAUGGCGUAGGCAGGUGACUGGCUCGUUUCUGACACUGAGGCACGAAAGCGUGGGGAGCGAACGGGAUUAGAUACCCCGGUAGUCCACGCCGUAAACGAUGGAUGCUA